CCUACGGGAGGCAGCAGUGAGGAAUAUUGGUCAAUGGGCGAGCGCCUGAACCAGCCAAGUCGCGUGAGGGAAGACGGCCCUACGGGUUGUAAACCUCUUUUGUCGGAGAGCAAAGCGAGUCACGUGUGACUCAUUGAGAGUACCCGAAGAAAAAGCAUCGGCUAACUCCGUGCCAGCAGCCGCGGUAAUACGGAGGAUGCGAGCGUUAUCCGGAUUUAUUGGGUUUAAAGGGUGCGCAGGCGGAGGUGCAAGUCAGCGGUCAAAUUGCGGGGCUCAACCCCGUACUGCCGUUGAAACUGCAUCCCUUGAGUGCGCGAGAAGUAUGCGGAAUGCGUGGUGUAGCGGUGAAAUGCAUAGAUAUCACGCAGAACUCCGAUUGCGAAGGCAGCAUACCGGCGCGCAACUGACGCUCAUGCACGAAAGCGUGGGUAUCGAACAGGAUUAGAUACCCUAGUAGUC
rnacentral:rRNA from 1 species